AUUGAACGCUGGCGGCAGGCUUAACACAUGCAAGUCGAGCGGAGAGAAGUAGCUUGCUACUGAUCUUAGCGGCGGACGGGUGAGUAAUGCUUAGGAAUCUGCCUAUUAGUGGGGGACAACAUUUCGAAAGGAAUGCUAAUACCGCAUACGUCCUACGGGAGAAAGCAGGGGAUCUUCGGACCUUGCGCUAAUAGAUGAGCCUAAGUCGGAUUAGCUAGUUGGUGGGGUAAAGGCCUACCAAGGCGACGAUCUGUAGCGGGUCUGAGAGGAUGGACGGCCACACUGGGACUGAGACCCGGCCCAGGCUCCUACGGGAGGCAGCAGUGGGGAAUAUUGGACAAUGGGCGGAAGCCUGAUCCAGCCAUGCCGCGUGUGGGAAGAAGGCCUUAUGGUUGUAAAGCACUUUAAGCGAGGAGGAGGCUACUUUAGUUAAUACCUAGGGAUAGUGGACGUUACUCGCAGAAUAAGCACCGGCUAACUCUGUGCCAGCCGCCGCCGUAACAC
rnacentral:rRNA from 1 species